UGGGGAAUAUUGCACAAUUGGCGCAAGCCUGAUGCAGCCAUUCCGCGUGUAUGAAGAAGGCCUUCGGGUUGUAAAGUACUUUCAGCGGGGAGGAAGGGAGUAAAGUUAAUACCUUUGCUCAUUGACGUUACCCGCAGAAGAAGCACCGGCUAACUCCGUGCCAGCAGCCGCGGUAAUACGGAGGGUGCAAGCGUUAAUCGGAAUUACUGGGCGUAAAGCGCACGCAGGCGGUUUGUUAAGUCAGAUGUGAAAUCCUCGGGCUCAACCUGGGAACUGCAUCUGAGACGGGCAAGCUUGAGUCUCGUAGAGGGGGGUAGAAUUCCAGGUGUAGCGGUGAAAUGCGUAGAGAUCUGGAGGAAUACCGGUGGCGAAGGCGGCCCCCUGGACGAAGACUAACGCUCAGGUGCGAAAGCGUGGGGAGCAAACAGG
rnacentral:rRNA from 1 species